UAAAGAGUCACAUAUCUUAGAGAUGAUUCGAAAGCUUGAUCCGUUGUAAGGUUUGCUGAUAUUGCGGUUUUGGCGAUCCAUGUAUAUAUAUAUGUAUAUAUGCAGAAGGGAUGAACGAAAAAGAGUGCAAGAAUUAAGGUGUUCAAGAUUCCUUCCACGAAGGAAAAUGAUAUCAUACAUCAUCUCUAAUCAUACGUUAGUUGCUGCAUCAUAACCAUAACCACAGAAAUAAUUCAUUCUCCCCGUUAUUUGCCGGAAUAGAAGAUAAACGGUGUUGAUGGAAAAUGGGGAAAAACUGACUGGUUCGCAAGAUGUAUGCCAUGAUUUGGGAAAUCAACAGGAAAACCAAAAUAAACAGGCGUCAACUACGCACUCCCUGCAUCAAAAAUAGCUAUUUCACAGGCAAAAAAACUUAACAGAUGAAGACUCCACAACCUGCUUCUUGUUCCACACUCUACUCCCCAAUCUCCUCAGCCUCACUCCCCAACUCCUCUUGGACAAGAUCUUUCCCCUCCCCAUCAUAAUCUUCCUGCCCAUCACCAUCCUGAUCUUCCUCUUCACUACUAGACCCGCUCCCGUCACUAUCCCCCUCGCUACCAGGAUCAUAAUCCUCCUCUUCUUCAUCCUCUCGAUCCUCCAGCUCUCUCUGCGCCUUCACCAAUUCAGAUUCCUCCUCCUCGCCCUCACCCGCAUGAUUUGCAGCACUAUCAGUACCUCCAUCCCCGCCCUUCACGCCGUUGAUGUUAAGUCUCUUGGCCCGACGCGCUUCAGCCAGACUGGCAUCCUGCAAGCCGUGCUUUUUGAUAUAAGCGUCAAUACCAGGGUGAUUCGACUGGUCGAUCAUGGACAGCUCGAAUUCCUGCACCUCGUCUAGCUUUGCGGACGAACGAGCAGUGAUGUUUAGGUUGAACGUGCGCUGGAGGACGGAGGUAUAGGAUAUGGUGUCGAUGUUUUCGAGAGCGAAGAAGAUGAGGGGCUUUUUGAAACCAAAGAAGAUGCCCGUGGAGAGGAAGAAGAGGAAUCCUGUCGGGAUGCAAUUAUUAGUUAGCAUUGCCGAGAUGACGUUUUGCUUUUUCAAAGCGCGGGGGGUUUUUAGGUGAUAUAUGUAACGCCCACCUUCCUUGCUCCCCCGGAACGCUUUGACAUGAUACGCCUUGUCCCCCUUCCGAUGAGCUUCAGGAGUCGGGCUCACAAAUUCCUUCUCGCUUGGACAAAUGACUUUCGUAUGUCUUAAAUUAUCAUCGAGCAUUCGCUUUAGAUAGCUUUCGUAGGUCUCCGCAAGAUUUGCACUCUCCAGAGCGGGUGUGCCUGAGCCUAGGUAUGCAGUCCUUGGAGGGCCAUCAGGAAUCGUCCACACAAUUGGCUCGAAUGCAAGUUGAUGAUCGGGGACAGGCGAGAUGCCGUCUCCGUGUUCCGGGAUGAUACAGAAAUUAAACUGCCGUUGCGUUUUCUCAGGGACGGGUAGGCAUAAGAUAUGCUCUAGACAAAAUUUUUGGUUAGAAAUCAAUCUCGUAGUAGCAACCCCAAAAAAAAAAGGG
rnacentral:sRNA from 1 species